rnacentral:rRNA from 1 species
GUAAUGCCGGAUGCUCCAUCACACCGCAUGGUGUGUUGGGAAAGCCUUUGCGGCAUGGGAUGGGGUCGCGUCCUAUCAGCUUGAUGGCGGGGUAACGGCCCACCAUGGCUUCGACGGGUAGCCGGCCUGAGAGGGCGACCGGCCACAUUGGGACUGAGAUACGGCCCAGACUCCUACGGGAGGCAGCAGUGGGGAAUAUUGCACAAUGGGCGCAAGCCUGAUGCAGCGACGCCGCGUGAGGGAUGGAGGCCUUCGGGUUGUAAACCUCUUUUGUUAGGGAGCAAGGCAUUUUGUGUUGAGUGUACCUUUCGAAUAAGCACCGGCUAACUACGUGCCAGCAGCCGCGGUAAUACGUAGGGUGCAAGCGUUAUCCGGAAUUAUUGGGCGUAAAGGGCUCGUAGGCGGUUCGUCGCGUCCGGUGUGAAAGUCCAUCGCUUAACGGUGGAUCCGCGCCGGGUACGGGCGGGCUUGAGUGCGGUAGGGGAGACUGGAAUUCCCGGUGUAACGGUGGAAUGUGUAGAUAUCGGAAAAGAAC